UCUAAGUGUUUCUUGUUUGUCUUGUUGUUAAAUUAUUUUACUUUUCUAGUGCCCUGUUGUACCCUUGUGCCCUUUCUAAGUGUACAUUAUAAACUGUUUCUUUAUGCAUUCAUUGUAGUAUCUUAACUAGUUUAAUUGUCUUUUUGGUUUAAGUGUGUCUUUUUACUUGUAUAAUUAUUUAUCUUUACUGGUUUUAAGGGCGUAAUGCUUUUCUAAUUAGUCACAUGUUUUUUUCUUUUCUUUUUUUUUUUUUUUUUUUUUUUUUGCAGUUUCUAACAAUGGUUAAUGUGCAUUUGAGUUUCAUCAUGGGGGACAAUGGGCAUUAGAGCCACAACUAAAUUACAUAGACUUUCUUGUUCACAGUAAAAAAGACUAUGAGUUUUACUUGCUUUGUUUAACUGAUUUACUGGCUGAAUAUAAUUGUAACCAUGGGUAUAUUGGUUGCAACAACUCAUGGUGAAAGCUCAGGUAGAUACUAUGAAGUAGAAGGGGAUGAUGAGAUUAGGACUUUGUUGGAUUUUAUUAGCCCACAAUAUAAUGUUAUCAACAUAUUUGUUGUAAAAGAGUCUGAAUUAGGUAUUGUUGUACCUAAUAUAAUCCAUCACAAUGAAUAUCACCUAGAUGAAUAUGAUGAUGCCUCUGAACUUGAAGCAGCCUCUGAAUAUAGUUCAGAUGACAGUGAUUAUGAUGGAAUGAAAUCUCCAGAUUCUUCAGAUUAUGAUUCUGAUAUGCUAGACUCACUUUUUAAGCAGAAGAAGUGAGAUAUUAAUGAAAAGUUGACAAACUAUAUGGAGUUGGUGCAUCCAUGACAUUUAGAGACAUCGAUGAAGCUAGGAAAGUAAUCAAUAUAUAUGCUCUUGCAAAUGGCUAUGGGUUAAAACAACUCAUAAGUGACACUAUAAGGCUUAGGUAUCUAUGUGAAGGUGAUUGUCCUUUUGUCUGUCAUAUAUCUAAGGAUAAAUUAGGGGGUGGGUUUACUUUCAAGACCUUAGUUACUGAACACACUUGUGAGCUUGCAUUUGAGAAUCAUAAAGUUGAUGCCAAUAUAAUAGCUGCAUACUUUAAGAGAGCGCUACCAGAUAAUCCAAAUAUUAAGCUUAAAGAUAUGAGGACAAGCUUGAAAGCUACAUUUAAUAUUAAUGUUAGUGACUCAAAGUGUAAGAGGGCCAAGAGAAUGAUUCUGGAGAAGCUUGAUGGUAAUUUUAAUGAUGAAUAUAACAAGCUUGUGGCUUAUGCCAAUGAACUGAAGUUGAGUAAUCCUGGAAGUGAUGUGAUAAUUAACUUUUCAAAGGAUGCUCUUGCUGAAGGAAAAAGAAGGUUUUCAAGGAUUUAUAUUUGUUUUGAUGCAAUGAAGAGGGGUUUAAGAGUGGGCUGAGACCUUUUAUAGGCUUAGACAAGACUUUUUUGAAAGGAAAGGCUAAAGGUUAGUAACGUUAGUAACAGUUGCUCAAGACUCUACAAACCACUUUUAUCCAUUAGUUUGGGUUGUUGUGGAUAAAGAAACAAAAGUGUUUUGGAACUAGGUCUUAAGUCAGCUACAAAUGUCAUUGGACCUUGGAAUGGGUGAAGGAGUUACUCUUAUAUCACAUAUGCAGAAGGGGUUGAUUUAUUCAAUCCAGAAAGUUCUUCUUGAGGCCCACUUCAGAUUCUAUGUUAAACACAUAGAAGAAAAUUAGUGCAAGAAAUAUGAGUUUGGGGAGUACAAGAAGUAUCUUUGGUAGGCUACAUGGAGUUCAUAUGAAGAGGAUUACCAAGAUCCACUAGAUAGUAUGAAGCUAGUGGAUGAUGAUGGUCAGGCUGCUGUUGAUGAUCUUUUGAAUUAUCCACCAGAAAAAUGAAAUAUGCCAUUCUUUGAUAUUAUUUGCAAGAACCAGUUAGUGGACAAUAACCUAACUGAGUCCUUCAAUGGAUGGAUUUUGGAAGCUAGACACAAGACAAUUAUAAAGAUGUUUGAGGAUAUUAGGAUUAUGUUAAUGACAUCUAAACUUUUGUUCUUCCUUAGUUUUUUUACUUUCUAUGUAUACUUAAUUUUUUUUCCAUCAAGGCGAUGAACAUGUUGCAUGAAAAUGAAGCUGCUGCUAUUGGUUGGGAUAUGGAGUACAGUCCAAAGACUAUGCUUUUAAAUAACUAGUUCAUAAGAAUUGCACAAUAAAUGUCAUGUCAAUGGAAGUGCAGACAAUGGGUUUGAGGUGACUGAAGGUGGUGACAGACAUAUUGUGAAUUUAGGGUUAAGGAGAUGCCCUUGCAGGACAUGAGGCCUUUGUGGAAUCCCAUGUCCUCAUGCAACUUGUGCCCUGCUGUACAAGAAGCUUGAACCUCUAUAUUGGAUGCAUUGGUAUCUGUCCAAAGAAGCAUAUCUCCUAUGAGAAUAAGUUACAGUCAGUUAGAGGAGAGAAAUUAUGGAAAAUACAUCCCUCACAAUACCCGGAGCACCAAAUAUAGUAAGAAUGGCUGGAAGGCCAAACGUUAAGAGGACAAGAGAAAAAAAAGAAGUUGUUAGUAGGCAAGGACAUUGGUCUCAAACAAGAAAAAUGAGGGUUAUGAGUACUACUUGUGGAGAACCUGAACAUAAUGCUAGGGGAUGUGACAAGCAUUCUAAAGGAAAGAAGCCCAUUGGCAAAACAAAGUGCAUGCCAAGAAAGAAGAAAAGAAGUUUUAUUGAUAAGCCUGCUAAUGAUGAACAGACCCCAGCUGGUACAGAUCUAGGGCAGUGCAGUUCACAACCCAACUUUUUUCCAGCAGAUCCAAGAGGUGUCUAGCCUCAAUGGCAAUUACUUCUUCUUUCAAUUUGUCUCGUUCUAUCUUAACCGCGACAUCGUUAAAUCUUGAACAUUAGUCCAAUCGCUUUUCGGGAACAAAGCAUCUUUCCAUUCCCAAAAUCUACAUAACCUAGCCUAUCCAAACAAUACAACUUAGUUGAACAUUAUGAAGCUAAUAGUGUAGAUUCAAGUAACGAUAAAGUUUGAAUGAAAAUUGUGAAGCACAAAAUUUAACCUA